GAUUCUCUUUUUUGAAAGGGAAAUUGGUGGGGUGAGUCCAGCCAAUGCAGAUUUAAGCAUCUAUUUUACAUUUUUGUUCUUUCAUGAAAAACGACAUCACCAUUUGAUUCUCACCGACCUUAACCAUCAGAUCGAAAGUUGUUCUUCAUCGACCUCAAGGGUUGAGGUAGUAGUGAACGUGCAUACAUGAUGACACACACAAGGUUCUUUUUCUAUUUAUAUUACAUAGUCUGAUGAUCCAUUAAUCUUCCCCUUUGGUGUAAUUGGCAAAGAUGCCGUGUUUUCCUUUA